AAAUUGAAGAGUUUGAUCAUGGCUCAGAUUGAACGCUGGCGGCAGGCCUAACACAUGCAAGUCGAGCGGUAGCACAGAGAGCUUGCUCUCGGGUGACGAGCGGCGGACGGGUGAGUAAUGUCUGGGAAACUGCCUGAUGGAGGGGGGAUAACUACUGGAAACGGUAGCUAAUACCGCAUAACGUCGCAAGACCAAAGUGGGGGACCUUCGGGCCUCAUGCCAUCAGAUGUGCCCAGAUGGGAUUAGCUAGUAGGUGGGGUAACGGCUCACCUAGGCGACGAUCCCUAGCUGGUCUGAGAGGAUGACCAGCCACACUGGAACUGAGACACGGUCCAGACUCCUACGGGAGGCAGCAGUGGGGAAUAUUGCACAAUGGGCGCAAGCCUGAUGCAGCCAUGCCGCGUGUGUGAAGAAGGCCUUCGGGUUGUAAAGCACUUUCAGCGGGGAGGAAGGCGUUAAGGUUAAUAACCUUGGCGAUUGACGUUACCCGCAGAAGAAGCACCGGCUAACUCCGUGCCAGCAGCCGCGGUAAUACGGAGGGUGCAAGCGUUAAUCGGAAUUACUGGGCGUAAAGCGCACGCAGGCGGUCUGUCAAGUCGGAUGUGAAAUCCCCGGGCUCAACCUGGGAACUGCAUUCGAAACUGGCAGGCUAGAGUCUUGUAGAGGGGGGUAGAAUUCCGGUGUAGCGGUGAAAUGCGUAGAGAUCUGGAGGAAUACCGGUGGCGAAGGCGGCCCCCUGGACAAAGACUGACGCUCAGGUGCGAAAGCGUGGGGAGCAAACAGGAUUAGAUACCCUGGUAGUCCACGCCGUAAACGAUGUCGAUUUGGAGGUUGUGCCCUUGAGGCGUGGCUUCCGGAGCUAACGCGUUAAAUCGACCGCCUGGGGAGUACGGCCGCAAGGUUAAAACUCAAAUGAAUUGACGGGGGCCCGCACAAGCGGUGGAGCAUGUGGUUUAAUUCGAUGCAACGCGAAGAACCUUACCUGGUCUUGACAUCCACAGAACUUUCCAGAGAUGGAUUGGUGCCUUCGGGAACUGUGAGACAGGUGCUGCAUGGCUGUCGUCAGCUCGUGUUGUGAAAUGUUGGGUUAAGUCCCGCAACGAGCGCAACCCUUAUCCUUUGUUGCCAGCGGUUCGGCCGGGAACUCAAAGGAGACUGCCAGUGAUAAACUGGAGGAAGGUGGGGAUGACGUCAAGUCAUCAUGGCCCUUACGACCAGGGCUACACACGUGCUACAAUGGCAUAUACAAAGAGAAGCGACCUCGCGAGAGCAAGCGGACCUCAUAAAGUAUGUCGUAGUCCGGAUUGGAGUCUGCAACUCGACUCCAUGAAGUCGGAAUCGCUAGUAAUCGUAGAUCAGAAUGCUACGGUGAAUACGUUCCCGGGCCUUGUACACACCGCCCGUCACACCAUGGGAGUGGGUUGCAAAAGAAGUAGGUAGCUUAACCUUCGGGAGGGCGCUUACCACUUUGUGAUUCAUGACUGGGGUGAAGUCGUAACAAGGUAACCGUAGGGGAACCUGCGGUUGGAUCACCUCCUUA
rnacentral:rRNA from 1 species